UACGUAGGUGGCGAGCGUUGUCCGGAUUUAUUGGGUUUAAAGGGUGCGUAGGCGGCUCUAUAAGUCAGUGGUGAAAUACUCCAGCUUAACUGGAGGGGUGCCAUUGAUACUGUAGGGCUUGAGUAAAGUUGAGGUUGGCGGAAUUGACGGUGUAGCGGUGAAAUGCUUAGAUAUCGUCAAGAACACCUAUUGCGAAGGCAGCUAACUAAGCUUUAACUGACGCUGAGGCACGAAAGUGUGGGGAUCAAACAGG
rnacentral:rRNA from 1 species